rnacentral:rRNA from 1 species
UACGGAGGGUGCGAGCGUUGUCCGGAAUCACUGGGCGUAAAGGGCGCGUAGGCGGCCCGGCAAGUCAACGGUGAAAGCUUGGGGCUCAACCCCGAGUCGGCCGUCGAUACUUCCGGGCUGGAGCACUGUAGAGGCAGGUGGAAUUCCGGGUGUAGCGGUGGAAUGCGUAGAGAUCGGGAGGAACACCAGUGGCGAAGGCGGCCGGCUGGGGGUGCCCUGACGCUGAGGCGCGAAGGCCAGGGGAGCAAACGGG